GGAGAGAUUCAUGCAUCCACCACAGAAAUGCCUGAGAUAUACCAGGUCAGAGGAACCUUCCAGCAAGCCUCUUAUCUGCCUUCCUAAGGAGUCAGUGUGUUGUAAUGCUGGGUCCCCCUCAGGCUAUACCCACAUAAGGAUACAUCCACCUACAGUGAAAGAGCGUGAGCCUGAGAAUGAGGACCAACCUCUCCUAAAAUGAGAACUCACUCCCUGUCUUACCCAUAAGUGGCACUAGUGUAUACUUCAUGAAGACAGAUUUCAUGCCUGGCUCAUUCACU